GCAAACUUGGUCAUUUAGAGGAAGUAAAAGUCGUAACAAGGUUUCCGUAGGUGAACCUGCGGAAGGAUCAUUAAAAGAGAAACGGUGCUUUCAGGCCCGGUCCUCCAACCCAACGUGUACCACUUCUUCGUUGCCUUGGCGGGUUGUGGGUUACGCCUACGCCUAAUGAUGGGCGCUCGCGGCCCACGCCCGCCGAAGGGUCCUUUUAGAACGUCGUCGUUUUGGAGCGUCUGAUCGUCCGCGAAUGCGAUGAACAACUUUCAACAAUGGAUCUCUUGGCUCCGGCAUCGAUGAAGAACGCAGC
rnacentral:misc_RNA from 1 species